GAUUGGACUCACCGAGCCCUAAACAAACAGCGCUAGCCGAAGGGUGCCAGGCUGUGGGUCGGAACUGCUCUCUACAAGCUGCUGGGUGCGGAGCUCACAAAAGGGAUUUCUUUCGACAAGCUGGACACUGGAAGAAGACUGCGGAGGGGAAUUGAAUAGGAGAAACACUCUUGUGGGAGUGGAUUUUUACACGAACACCCCAGUCCCUGUGGCUUCAGCGUGGUGGCUGCCUUUCUGAAAGGCUGAAAGUAGAAAACUCUGGAAUGGAAAGGCUAGCAGCUGGAACAGGAUUUGAAGACUUUAAAUGUUAACCCGAGUUCGAUCGAAAGUUACUACCACAAGAGACUGCCACCGGCCGGCCCAAUUCCCACCGCGGCUUCCAGUGGCUUGCUUUGGGUUGUCCGCUAGGCAUGGAAGACUAGAAAACACACUGACCCUGGCGCUUCUGGGACAGAGGUGAGGAGUUCGACCCAUAUGAACAGAUUCGACAACAUUCGGACUCUGGCGGCUGGGGAAGAAACCCAUAAUUUUACCCUUCUCAUUCCCAAUCAUUUUAGUAGUGCCUCCAACCACAAGAAAAAACGAUAGAUCAUUGUUUUUCCUUUCAGGGCUCAAAAUUCACCUUUAGUUUUUUUUUUUAAGGCUGGCUUUCCGGAAGAGGACUAGGUUAGAGAAAUAUUUUUUUUCCAUUUCAGUUAAUGUAAAAAUAAAACCUGUCCGGUUGACUAAG
rnacentral:lncRNA from 1 species